GACGAACGUUGGCGGCGUGCUUAAUACAUGCAAGUCAACUGAAGCAGUGGUAGCAAUAUCGCUGUGGAGGUGGCGCACGGGUGAGUAACACGUAGGUAAUCUGCCUUCAGGUCUGGCAUAGCUCCGGGAAACCGGGGCUAAUAGCAGAUGAUGCAGCGGCUCGACAUCGAGACAGUUGUUAAAGCUAUGGCGCCUGAAGAUGAGCCUGCGUCUGAUUAGCUAGUUGGCGGGGUAACGGCCCACCAAGGCAACGAUCAGUAGCUGGUCUGAGAGGAUGAUCAGCCACACUGGAACUGAGACACGGUCCAGACUCCUACGGGAGGCAGCAGUAAGGAAUAUUGCUCAAUGGGAGAAAUCCUGAAGCAGCAACGCCGCGUGAGGGACGAAGGGCUUUGGCUUGUAAACCUCUGUAGUGAGAGAAAAAAAUCCCAAUCUUUGGGACAUGAUGGUAUCUCAAAAGUAAGCCCCGGCUAACUACGUG
rnacentral:rRNA from 1 species